UCUCUCUCUCACUCUCUCUCUCUCUUCACCAAAACGAAUUGUUUCGCUUUGCCUUUGCUUUCUGGUUGUGAUGCUUUGUGGAAUUUGGUUAUCUAGUUCGUUGUAUCAAUUAGAACGCGUCGUUGAUAGUUAAUUUAUGGAAUCUGGCAAUCGUUAAAAUUAUUUUAUAUUUUUAAACGAACAGUAUAUAAUCCUUUUCUGGAUUUUGAGUUUUGGGCAGAUGCACUAUCUACUUUUGAGAUAACCCUUUAGUAUUUCUUAUAGUUAGAAGGUGUAAAGAUUAUAUUUUAAUUGUGAAAAGGAAAAGAUUGGAUUUAAUAGCGAUUUCUGCAGCUGCAGCCUGCAAUUGGAUUUUGAUUGUGAAAAGGAAAAGAUUGGAUUUAAUAGCGAUUUCUGCAGCUGCAACCUGCAUCUGCCAAUAUCAAUACCAUGUGGAACUAUAGAAAUUAUGGAUGCAUGCUCAAUUAGAAGUGGCAUUGUGGAAGGUGUUAAGAGUUUAUGAUUCUUUUGAGAGGGAGAUGUGAUGGAUAAAUCGAUUUAGAUGGAUGGUGGGUUGCAUUAAGUAGUUUUGACUGAUGUAGAUGUCAUAUUGAGUCAGAGAAGAAAGUAAGUUUCGAUCAAUUUGUUUAAAGUUCAGAGCCAUUUGCAUUGGCCGGUGUCAUCAAGGAUAUGUAUGAAAGGCCGAAAUUUUCAUCCUUUAUUUACUCGUUUCUGUUUUUUUGUAAUUAAAUCAAAGAUGAAAAUUUCGGCCUUGUAGAUGAUGUCAGUGAUGGCUAGUUUUUCAGGGUCAGAAGAUGAGUAGCUUAAGUAGGAUUUAUUUGGUUUAGAUUGGGUUAGGGAUUAAAAAAAAGUUAUUAGGGUUGGGGUCUCAUCCUUGCUUCUUCUGCCAUUGUUUCUCAACAAGACUUGGUGGCAUUUAAUAGUUAGAGACCUUUUUUCUGCUGUACAAGACUAUGGUUGCGCUUUUUCUUGGAUCACUAAGGUUGUUGGCUUGUUUCUGUUAGUCUUUCAAAUUUUUUGUCUGAUUUCAUCUGAUGUGAAACUCCGCCUAUGUCUUACAUGGCCGGUCCCAAGCCCGGAUAAAGGAGGAGGGGGAGGGCGUCAGGUAGUCGACAGCCGGCACUCCAUGAUCACGUCGAAUCCUUAUGAAAAUGAAUCCAGAACAAAAUCGCGCUAAAGCUAGGGCGUCACCCGUAAGUGGCACGCUGUGUGGCCCGAGCACAGUGAUAAGUGAGCAAGGGUCGCUGUAUCUCCAUCGGCACCCGGAUGCAGUGUUAAAUGAGCAAGGGGGCCAUAGAAACUUCUUUUCGAACGACUCCACUCAAAGUUGUUUGGGAGCAUAUGCUCCUAUCAACUUUACCCGGGACACACAAAAGAAGUACUUUGAUCCUAUUAGAUGGGGGAGGGUGAAGAAGCUAGGACAGAAGGGUAGAGUUCAAGAGAGCAAAAUGCGUUUAGGAACGUGGAAUAUAGGAACCUUAACGGGAAAAUCUAUGGAAGUAGUGGUGGAAGUUAUGGUGAGGAGAAGGAUAAAUAUUAUGUGCCUACAAGAAACUAAGUGGGUUGGUAGUAAGGCAAAGGAUCUAGAAAACUCAGGGUUUAAACUUUGGUAUUCGGGCACAAAUAGAACGAGAAACGGUGUCGGCAUCAUCGUGGACAAGACCUUGGUACAAGAUGUUGUAGAUGUCAAGAGGGUAGGAGAUAGAGAAUCAUGGCAAUCAAGAUUGUAAUAGGACAAGAACUUAUCAAUGUGAUUAGUGCGUACGCACCUCAAGUAGGGUUGGAUACGAGUUCGAAGGAGAAAUUUUGGGAAGAUCUUGGAGACUUGGUGCAAGGAAUUGCUCAGACGGAGAAGUUAUUUAUAGGAGGAGAUUUAAAUGGACACGUGGGCAGGGAGACAGGCAACUAUGGAGGUUUUCAUGGUGGCCAUGGUUUUGGGGAGAGAAACGAGAAUGGGGAAGCUAUCUUGGAUUUUGCAAUGGCAUAUGAUCUCUUCUUAGCCAACACCUUCUUUAAGAAGAGAGAAGAACAUAUGAUCACCUACAAGAGUGGGUCGUCAAAAACACAAAUAGAUUUUCUUCUAAUGAGGAAAGGGGAUCGUAUAACUUGUAAGGAUUGCAAAGUUAUACCAGGAGAGAGCGUGGCUAAUCAACAUCGCUUGUUGGUGAUGGAUGUACAUAUCAAAAGAGUAAGACAAAAGAACAAGACUUGGAAGUGCCCAAGGACUAGAUGGUGGAAUCUAAAAGAAGAAAAACAAGUCAUUUUCAAAAGAAAGGUAAUCACCCAAUGUGUGUGGGAUAGAGAGGGGGAAGCUAGCCAAAUGUGGGAUUCCAUGGCUAGUUGUAUCCGAAAAGUAGCAAAAGAGGUAUUAGGAGAGUCCAAGGGCUUUGCCCCACACCAAAAGGAAUCUUGGUGGUGGAAUGAGGAGGUACAAACAAAGGUGAAGGCUAAGAAGGAAUGUUGUAAAAGCCUUAUACAAGGAGAGGACUGAUGAAAAUGGUGAAAGGUAUAGAAAAGCGAAGCAAGAGGCGAAGAAAGCUGUCAGAGAAGCUAAGUUAGCGGCUUACGACGAUAUGUAUAAACGACUAGAUACCAAAGAAGGAGAGUUGGAUAUCUAUAAACUAUCUAGAGCAAGGGAAAAGAAGACAAGGGACCUAAACCAAGUGAGGUGCAUCAAGGAUGAGGAUGGAAAGGUUCUUGCUACAGAGAACGCGGUUAAAGACAGAUGGAGAGGUUAUUUUCAUAAUCUUUUCAAUGAAGGACAUGAAAUGAGUGCUUCUUUAGGGGAGUUGAGUAACUCAGAAGAGUGUAGAAACUACUCUUUUUAUCGUCGAAUCCGGAAGGAAGAAGUGGUUGUAGCUUUGAAGAAGAUGAAGCAUAAAAAAGCAAUAGGCCCAGACAAUAUACCAAUCGAAGUGUGGAAACUUUUGGGAGAGACAGGUAUAACAUGGCUCACUGACCUUUUUCAAUAGGAUUUUGAAAACGAAGAAGAUGCCAAAUGAGUGGCGAACGAGCACUUUGGUGCCUAUCUACAAGAAUAAGGGCGACGUACAAAAUUGCAUGAACUAUAGGGGUAUUAAGCUAAUGAGUCAUACAAUGAAGCUCUGGGAGAGAGAGUCAUUGAGCAUAGAUUGAGGCAAGAGACACGGGUUUCGGACAACCAAUUCGGGUUCAUGCCAGGGCGCUCAACUAUGGAGGCAAUCUAUCUCUUACGAAGAUUGAUGGAAAGAUAUAGAGAUGGGAAAAAGGAUUUACACAUGGUCUUUAUAGAUUUGGAAAAAGCGUAUGAUAGGGUCCCAAGAGACAUUCUUUGGAGGAUUUUAGAGAAGAAAGGAGUACGAGUAGCAUAUAUCCAAGCUAUAAAGGAUAUGUAUGAAGGAGCAAAGACUGCCGUAAGAACUCAUGAAGGACAAACCGAAAGCUUUCCCAUAACUGUAGGAUUACAUCAAGGCUCAUCCUUAAGUCCUUACCUUUUUGCGUUGGUAAUGGAUGAGUUAACAGGACAUAUUCAAGAUGAUAUUCCUUGGUGUAUGCUUUUCGCAGACGAUAUAGUGUUGAUAGAUGAAACUCAGGAAGGGGUAAAUGCAAAGCUUAACCUUUGGAGAGAAGUGUUGGAAUCUAAAGGUCUUCGCCUAAGCCGAUCAAAGACAGAAUAUAUGGAGUGCAAGUUCAGUGCAAAUGGAGGCCAAAACGAGUUAGGGGUGAGGAUCGGAGAUCAAGAAAUACCAAAGAGCGACCGUUUUCGUUACCUAGGAUCUAUCUUGCAAAAGAACGGAGAAUUAGAUGGAGAUCUCAACCACAGAAUACAAGCUGGAUGGAUGAAGUGGAAGAGUGCAUCCGGCGUAUUGUGUGACCACCGUAUGCCACUGAAGCUCAAGGGAAAAUUUUAUAGGACGGCAAUAAGGCCGGCGAUGCUGUAUGGCACAGAAUGUUGGGCGGUGAAACAUCAACACGUACACAAAAUGGGUGUAGCGGAGAUGAGGAUGCUUCGUUGGAUGUGUGGGCACACGAGAAAGGAUAAGAUUAGGAAUGAGGAUAUCCGGGGUAAAGUAGGAGUAGCCGAAAUUGAAGGAAAGAUGAGAGAAAAUCGGUUACGGUGGUUUGGACAUGUGCAAAGAAGGCCUACUGACGCUCCGAUUAGAAGAUGCGACUAUGGGACAGAGGUUCAGGGCCGAAGGGGUAGAGGAAGACCUAGGAAAACUUUGGAAGAGACUCUAAGAAAAGACUUAGAGUACUUGGAUCUAACGAAGGACAUGACUCAGGAUCGAGCACAAUGGCGUUCUAAGAUUCAUAUAGCCGAUCCCACUCAGUGACUUGGAUUUUCCAAGUCUCCAACCGAGAAGUUUUCCUCACUCGGGAAAUUAAGGGAACACUACCCCAACCUACAUGCUCUACUCAGAAAGCUUCAACAUACAAGCUUCAACAAAAGAAAAUUCAAAGAACUUAGCGAAGAAGGCUUUGGUGUAUUUAACACAAUACGUUGAAAAUGAAGGAAAGCUUAUUUAUUGAUAUCCCCGAUAAGCUACAAAUAUGUACAUAUACAUGAGUCAAAAUAAACACACAAGAGGGAGCCUUCACAAAGGUUGCUUAGGAGAAGUCUCAGCAGUCGGUAGAGCCCCAGAAAGAGAAGGCAUCGGAGGGGGAUCAUUUGGAGCCUCAGUACUGGACAGAACCCUAGAAGGAGGAGGCAUCAGAGGUUGAUCAUUCGGAGCUUCAUUACGUGGUACAGCCCCAGAAGACGAAGGCAAUAAAUGCCUUUGGAACAAACCCACAAAUCUCUGAUGAUCAAGUAAAACCUGACCAUCAGUUUCCUUCAUCUGGUCAAGCUUCCUCUUCAUGUUUGUAGGAUAGUCAUGUGCGAGCCGGUGCAACUGUUUAUUCUCAUGUUUGAGCCCUCUAAUCUCCUGUUUGAGACUCAUCACUUCAGCCGCCAAUGAUUCAACUUGGCGGGUUCGAGCAAAUAGGCGUUGGGCCAUAUUAGACACAGAACCUGCACACUGAACAGUGAGAGCCAGCGAAUCCUUAACAGCUAACUCAUCAGACCGUUUGGAAAGUAGUCUGUUAUCUUUGGGAGUGAGAAAGGUUCCUGGCCACCACCGCAGCGGUCAUAUCAUUCUUCAUCACGGAAUCCCCAACGGUAAGAGGACCAGUAGGGGAGACGAAUGAUGGGCGCCAUAUGUUGUCUGGAGAAGGCGGGGCUGCCUCUUCAACAAGGUUCAAGUCAAAACGACGGUCGGAGGGGCCAGACAUUUUCAAAGGUGUUGAAGAGAGAAGAGGUCGGACAAAUCAAGAUCUUAGAAGUGCAAGAAUGAAGCUUCUACUAGUGGAGAUUCAAGUGUGCUUUGGAACUUAAUGCCAGCCCCUAUAAAAAUCUGCACUCGACGGAGCUUCAGAAAUCGAAGAGGCGCCUGCUCAGAAAUCGAAGAGGCGUUUGCUUUCUCAAAAGCUGGGCUGCUUAGAGAUCACGAGGGUUGAUCUCAGAAAUCGAAGAGGCGUUUGCUUUCUCAAAAGUUGGGCUGCUCAAAGACCACGAAGGCGGAUCUCAGAAAUCGACGAGGCGCUCGCUUUCUCAAAAGCUGGGCUCCCCAGAGACCACGAGGGCCGAUCUCAGAAAUCGAAGAGGCACCUACUUUUCCAGCCUUGUCAGCACUUGUCACACGCACACUCAGCUUUGCGGAAAUUAUGGGCAUUCUGUCGAAGACUUCUGGGGAAGUAGAAAACACAUGAAUCUUACUUUUCAAUCACCCACUUCCCACACGCAACAAUAGCUCAUGGGUACCACAGAUAACUUUGCCAAAGUUCUCUGCCAAAGUUGAGCACGUGAAGCUUGAAACUCCCACUACAUCGCUCUGACCAAGAAGGGUAAAAGAAUAGCAAAGAAACAGCACUAACAAAGUUUAGACCCAUAAAUUUUGAAGGUCUAGCUACCAUAUUAUUACCCACAAGGGUAAAGGAACAGUACCACUGCUGGAUAAUUGGAAAGUCCCUGUGUGUCAACCUCUGUGCUUCGUGGCAAGGUAGACUAGCAAACAUGUCCAACCUUUACUCACAUUCGAGAAAACACUCCCAAUAAGAUUGCUUGCUCCAAAAUCGAAGAGGCACCGUCCUCCGAAUCUCGAGAGCCAGACUCCCAACAUGACUACUUUCUUAAAAAUCGAAGAGAGGGUAAAGGAACAGUACCAUUGCUGGAUAAUUGGAAAGUCCCUGUGUGUCAACCUCUGUGCUUCGUGGCAAGGUAAGACUAGCAAACAUGCCCAACCUUUACUCACAUUCGAGAAAACACUCCCAACAAGAUUGCUUGCUCCAAAAUUGAAGAGGCACCGCCCUCCGAAUCUCGAGAGCUAGACUCCCAACAUGAUUACUUUCUCAAAAAUCGAAGAGACACUGCUCCCGAAUCUUCGAGAGCCAGACCCCCAGCAUGAUUGCUUUCUCAAAAAUCGAUGAGGCAUCGUUCUCCGAAUCAAUCGAAGAGGCGCUCGCUUUCUCAAAAGCUGGGCUGCUCAGAGACCACGAGGGCCGAUCUCAGAAAUCGAAGAGGCACCUACUAUUCUAGCCUUGUCAGCACCUGUCACACGCACACUCAGCUUUGCAGAAAUUAUGGGCAUUCUGUCGAAGACUUCUGGUGAAGUAGAAAGCACAUGAAUCUUACUGUUCAAUCACCCACUUCCCACACGCAACAAUAGCUCAUGGGUACCACAGAUAACUUUGCCAAAGUUCUCUGCCAAAGUUGAGCACGUGAAGCUUGCAGCUCCCACUACAUCGCUCUGACCAAGAAAGGUAAAAGAAUAGCAAAGAAACAGCACUAACAAAGUUUAGACAUAUAAAUUUUGAAGGUCUAGCUACCAUAUUAUUACCCACAAGGGUAACGGAACAGUACCAUUGCUGGAUAAUUGGAAAGUUCCUGUGUGUGUCAACCUCUGUGCUUCUUCGUGGCAAGGUAGACUAGCAAACAUGCCCAACCUUUACUCACAUUCGAGAAAACACUCCCAACAAGAUUACUUGCUCCAAAAUCGAAGAGGCACCGUCCUCCGAAUCUCGAGAGCCAGACUCCCAACAUGACUACUUUCUCAAAAGCGAAGAAGAUAGGGUAAAGGAACAGUACCAUUGCUAGAUAAUUGGAAAGUCCCUGUGUGUCAACCUUUGUGCUUCGGGGCAAGGUAGACUAGCAAACAUGCCCAACCUUUACUCACAUUCGAGACAACACUCCCAACAGGAUUGCUUGCUCCAAAAUCGAAGAGGCACCGCCCUCCGAAUCUCGAGAGCCAGACUCCCAACAUGAUUACUUCCUCAAAAAUCGAAGAGACACUACUCUCCGAAUCUCGAGAGCCAGACCCCCAGCAUGAUUGCUUUCUCAAAAAUCGAAGAGGCAUCGUUCUCCGAAUCUUGAGAGCCAGAUACCACAGACCACUUUUUUCAAAGUGCUCUGACAGAGUUAAAACAUGUGAAACUGGCAGCUCCCACUACCGUGCUAUGAACCAAGCAGGGUAAAUGAAUAGCAUUACUACUUGUUGUUAGGGAGACUCCUAUAUAUGUCGACCUCCAUCCCCAACGGACAGGCAGACCUGCAAAAAUGCUCAACCCUUCAUCAUAUCUAAGAGGGCACUCCCAACGAAGCCUUUCGAAAUAUUCAGCUUUCUUUCCCCCCGAUAAUACCUCUGCAAACAAGCUAUAUACUAGAGCAAGAAUAUCUCAUAUCAUCAGGGUUAAAAAGCAAGAGUAUCCCAUAUCAUGCUUUUUCCCUGUCUUUUCCUUUGGCCUUGUUUUUACCUGCAAGACAAGGAGAAAGAGAGCAAUCAGUCAGCACUUGGAAUCAAGCUUCCAGCCAGGAACUGACUGCCUGGAACCCCUUACCUGAUUACUUACCUGGCAUUGCUCUCGAGUACUCAUCUUCAACAUCUUAUGUUUCCAGGGAAGAUUUCCGCAUCUGCUUGAGGAACAGAUAGGGCAAGUGCGAAGGAUACAAGGAAGCAUGUGGAGACAAGCGUAACAGCACACGUGCCGAUACAUCCAUUACUCUGUCAAAAGCAAAAGUAUCCCAUAUCAGCAGGGUGGAACGUACUCUAGAUUUGAUGGACUUGUUUUGACCCUCAAAUUCUUCAGUCGGCCUUAUACUCUGGAGGAAACCAGAAAACCCUCCAGCUCAGUUCAAGAAAUAAGCCUGUGGAAAGUUACUUCUUCAAAAGCAAAAAGUAUCUCAUAUCAUCUCUUCUCAUUUUUCUUCUCUUUAUCCUUCAUGCUGCUGCAAGAUGGGGAGAAGGUGAACAAUCAGUCGGAGCUCUGAUUGCUUACCUUGUCUGUCACCUCUUUCAGCAGACCCCCUAGCUCGGCGACUUGGGGGACUCCUACUACAUGGUUUGUAUCGCGCUUGACCAAGCUUGAAACUACAAGUAAGCUUCAAGUGAAAUUGAUACAUUACCUUGUGCAUCUCCACCAGUUAAAGAUAUCACCCCUGGAUGGAGGAAGAGUACUUCCAGAGAAGAUGCCACAUCUACCUAUGAGACAGAUAAGGCAAGUCAAGACGACACCACACUCCGAUACUUAGAAGUUUCGUGAUUACGAGAUCAUUCUCCCACAAUAUUUCCUAAUGUCAUUUGUACUAAAUCAUUCACUUGUACUCAUUAAAGGAGAGCUUGAACCCAUGUACUUGUGUAAACCCUUCACAAUUAAUGAGAACUCUUCUAUUCCGUGGACGUAGCCAAUCUGGGUGAACCACGUACAUCUUGUGUUUGCUUUCCUAUCUCUAUAUCCAUUUAUAUACUUAUCCACACUAAUGACCGGAGCAAUCUAGCGAAGAUCACAAAAAGCGACCGUUUUCGCUACCUAGGAUCUAUCUUGCAAGAGAACGGAGAAUUAGAUGGAGAUCUCAACCAUAGAAUACGAGCUGGAUGGAUGAAGGGUAAGAGUGCAUCCGGCGUGUUGUGUGACCGUCGUAGGCCACUGAAGCUCAAGGGAAAAUUUUAUAGGACGGCAAUAAGGCCAGCGAUGUUGUAUGGCACAGAAUGUUGGGCGGUGAAGCAUCAACACGUACACAAAAUGGGUGUAGCGGAGAUGAGGAUGCUUUGUGGAUGUGUGUGGGCACACGAGAAAGGAUAAGAUUGGGAAUGAGGAUAUCCGAGGUAAAGUAGGAGUAGCCGAAAUUGUAGGAAAGAUGAGAGAAAAUCGGCUCCGGUGAUUUGGACAUGUGCAAAGAAGGCCGACUGACGCUCCGGUUCGAAGAUGUGACUACGGGACAGAGGUUCAGGGCCGAAGGGGUAGAGGAAGACCUAGGAAAACUUUGGAAGAGACUCUAAGAAAAGACUUAGAGUACUUGGAUCUAACGGAGGACAUGAUACAAAACCGAGCGCAAUGGCGUUCUAGGAUUCAUAUAGCCGACCCCACUUAGUGGGAAAAGGCUUUGUUGUUGUUGUUGUUGUUGUAUUUCAUCUGAUGUGAACAUCAGAUUAACGAAACUGCAUCAAGGUUUUAUGAAAAUUUUCACAUUUGAUAUUGUUCAAGGUAAUAAAACUUUGUGGAAUUUGAUUCAUCUAGGAAUAUUUCGUGAAGUUAGAAAUAUUUCUUGAGUAUCUGCAGUUUCAAAGUUUUGAGAUGGGUUACAUAGAACCUAUAAAUUCUUAUACUAUUGCUGAAAAUUAAAUUCCAGUAUCUUAAAUGUUUCCAAACAAUUUGGUUGAGCGACCAACCCAUUUAUUCUGUUGGAACUGGCUAUUCCUUUACUAUUCAUUAUGAGUUUUUUUGUUGAUUAUAUAUUCAUCAAGCCAUUCUUAGACAACUUUGUAUAAUUUUAG
rnacentral:lncRNA from 1 species